UCUAAGUAUAACCUGCCAGACAGGGAAACUGCGUACGGCUCAUUACACCAGCCUUAAUUUACUUGACCUUGACAACCUACUUGGAUAACUGUGGUAAUUCUAGAGCUAAUACAUGCACCAAAGCUCCGAUCCUCGCGGAGAGGAGCGCAUUUGUUCGCCACAAAACCAAGCGCCCAUCUGGGCGUCCAGUGCUGAACCAGAACAACUCAGCUGAUCGCACGGUCUUGUACCGGCGACGUGUCUUUCAAGUGUCUGCCUUAUCAACUUUCGAUGGUAGUGUACCUGACUACCAUGGUUGUGACGGGUAACGGAGGAUAAGGGUUCGACUCCGGAGAAGGGGCCUGAGAAAUGGCCACUACGUCUAAGGAUGGCAGCAGGCGCGCAAAUUACCCACUCUCAACGCGAGGAGGUAGUGACGAGAAAU
rnacentral:rRNA from 1 species